rnacentral:rRNA from 1 species
ACUCCUACGGGAGGCAGCAGUGGGGAAUAUUGCACAAUGGGCGCAAGCCUGAUGCAGCCAUGCCGCGUGUAUGAAGAAGGCCUUCGGGUUGUAAAGUACUUUCAGCAGUGAGGAAGGUGGAUAUGUUAAUAGCAUAUUCAUUUGACGUUAGCUGCAGAAGAAGCACCGGCUAACUCCGUGCCAGCAGCCGCGGUAAUACGGAGGGUGCGAGCGUUAAUCGGAAUUACUGGGCGUAAAGCGCAUGCAGGUGGUUUGUUAAGUCAGAUGUGAAAGCCCGGGGCUCAACCUCGGAAUUGCAUUUGAAACUGGCAAACUAGAGUACUGUAGAGGGGGUAGAAUUUCAGGUGUAGCGGUGAAAUGCGUAGAGAUCUGAAGGAAUACCGGUGGCGAAGGCGGCCCCCUGGACAGAUACUGACACUCAGAUGCGAAGCGUGGGGAGCAAACAGGAUUAGAUACCCGUGGUAGGUCAGUC